rnacentral:rRNA from 1 species
CGCGUAGGCGGCCUGGUCAGUCGGAUGUGAAAGCCCGGGGCUCAACCCCGGAACGGCAUCCGAGACGGCCAGGCUGGAGACCGGGAGAGGAGAGUGGAAUAGCCAGUGUAGAGGUGAAAUUCGUAGAUAUUGGCUGGAACACCGGUGGCGAAAGCGGCUCUCUGGCCCGGUUCUGACGCUGAGGCGCGAAAGCGUGGGAGCAAACA